ACAGCAGGACACAAGGAUCUAGAGGGGCUUAGCUGCAGAUGCACAUCUGGGGACAAAAGGGAGAAGAACCUACAUUAGAUUGGAAUAAAUCAUACUACAGAUGAUUUACUUGUUAGUCCUAAAUAAGAAGCUGUCCUGGAAUCAGCAGUGUUUCAGACUGCUGGGUAGAAUUUUGCACCCUGUGUAAGGCAGAGACAGCUCUGGUGCCUUGCAGGUACUGCUCUUCCCAGAGAGCAGGAGAUCAUCUCACAAGGAUUGAAAUUACAGAAAUUGGCCUGAAGAGGUACAUGAAGUUCAAGAUUUGAAAUUCCAAGGCUUUCUGGAGCCCUGCCUCCAAACCCAGGAUAACCUGUUAAUUCCAUGGUCAGAAACACUCCAUCGUAAACAUUUCCCAGUGAAAGUCUUUGAAGUGAAGCCAUCAGUCACUUGUUCAGCACGAGUCCCACAAGCUGGGACUGCAACCUGACUUUUCCACUGAGAGGCUUUGGUCAGUACUGCCCAUCCCAGCAGGAUUAUCUAUGCACCCUGCCCUAAACGUGCCUGCAGUGCAGCACUCCCACAUUUCCAAAGAUCUCCUAACUGUUUAUAAGUAUCUAAUGUGCAGAAGUCAAGUCAAUGGGGGCAGACUCUUUCUGAUGGUGAGCAGCAACAGAACAAAGGGCAAUAGGCAGAAAAUGGAACUCAGCAAGUUCCAUACAAACACAAGGAAUAACUUCUAUACUGUCAGAGUGACGGAGCACUGGAACAGGCUGCCCAGAGGGGUUGUGGAGUCUCCUUCUCGGGGGAUAUUCAAGAGCCACCUGGAUGCCGACCUGUGCGACCUGCUGUAGGGAAUUGCUUUAGUAGAGGGCUGGACUCGAUCUCUAGGCAUCCCUUCCAACCCCUGCAAUUCUGUGAUUCUGUAAUUCCGUGAAAGGCAAAUACACAUCUCAGCAUGAAAAACAAAGAUGUGAACCGCCUUCUACCUCAGAUGGGGAGGAGGAUAAGCCCCCAGGAGCCCAGUGUUGGCUUGUUCUGGUCAAAACACUGCAAUCAGCCAGAGAACUUGUACUGCCCCUCUGUAUAAGAUUUGGACCCUCUUACAUUCUGCUGAAAGCACCUUUGGAAAGGAACAGUACCUUAUUCCUGGGGCACAGGUAGAGACGCUGGAGGGGUCCCCCAAAUGCAGGCAGGAAUUUGUAUCACAAAUAAGGCACCUUUGUCUUCUACGCCUUCAAUACAAGCUGCUAAAAAUGGGCUUUUCUUUCAGCCCAGAGGACAAAAACUUAAAAACGAAACAACAAACCCAACCAUCUCCCUGUGCCUGUGCUGCCACCUCCCUCUCUCUCCUCUGCCUGCGGCAGGCAGCUCGGGCUGUGAGGACCCCGUGCCGAGACUGAGGAAGCAACUGUAUAUACGGAUGGGAGACAAGCUGGGUGCUCAUCAGGAGGAAACAGCUUUCAGUGGCUUCCAGAUGGGGCCCUUUCCCACCUGUACACCCUAGGACGCUGAAAACUACUGCAAGCCAGGAGGCCUCACACAGGAACUCAACAACCCUAGCAAGAAUAUAAUUGCCUUCAGAGCUAGCAGUACCGGCAUGAGAGACUGCCUUCAGUAGGAACAGACUUUCCACCAUCUCACGCCUCACCCAGGUGCAUGACUUCGUUUGCAAAGGCCCAAGGGAGUGAAACAGCUCUGUAAGGCCUUAGGAGAAGGGAAAUUGCUAUCAGACUCCUGUUGAUUCCACAGCCCACCAAGGACGCUGCUGGCUUCUACAGGCCAUCCCCCAUCUGUUGGAAUAGCGGGAAGUUUUGCUUUAGCAAUAAAAAAUAAAAAAUGCUGGAGUCCAACUGGUGACUGAAGUCUGGUGCCAGGCUCUGCUGCAGAGACAUCACAGCUGCCUACAGUGCCUGCUCUGAAAGAGGUGCUCAUUAAACAUUUGCCUUGGGUUUAUUUUCCCUGUUUGCUGUACCCAAGCAUUCACAACAAAAAUUCCAUAAGGGAGAGCUGCAAAUCAAAAGUUUGAUUUCAUUAAAACAAAUGCAACCAGC